rnacentral:rRNA from 1 species
UAGGGAAUCUUCCACAAUGGGCGCAAGCCUGAUGGAGCAACACCGCGUGAGUGAAGAAGGGUUUCGGCUCGUAAAGCUCUGUUGUUAAAGAAGAACACGUAUGAGAGUAACUGUUCAGGUAUUGACGGUAUUUAACCAGAAAGCCACGGCUAACUACGUGCCCG